rnacentral:rRNA from 1 species
GAACGAAGCAAUGCCGCGUGAGUGAGGGAAGGUCUUCGGAUCGUAAAGCUCUGUUGCAGGUCAGAAAAGAAGGAAAGAGGAAAUGCUUUUUCUUUUGAUAGUAACCUGCCAGAAAGUCACGGCUAACUACGUGCC